AGUGAACGCUGGCGGCGUGCUUAACACAUGCAAGUCGAACGAGAACGGAUUAUAGCUUGCUAUAAUUGUCAGCUAAGUGGCGCACGGGUGAGUAAUGUAUAGGUAAUAUGCCUCUUACUAAGGGAUAACAAAUGGAAACGUUUGCUAAUACCUUAUACUCCUUAUUAACAUAAGUUAAUAAGAGAAAGAUUUAUUGGUAAGAGAUUAGCCUGUAUUGUAUCAGAUAGUUGGUGGGGUAAUGGCUUACCAAGACUAUGACACAUAACUGGUUUGAGAGGAUGAUCAGUCACACUGGAACUGAGACACGGUCCAGACUCCUACGGGAGGCAGCAGUGGGGAAUAUUGCACAAUGGACGAAAGUCUGAUGCAGCAACGCCGCGUGGAGGAUGACACAUUUCGGUGCGUAAACUCCUUUUAUAUGAGAAGAUAAUGACGGUAUUAUAUGAAUAAGCACCGGCUAACUCCGUGCCAGCCGCCGCCGUAA
rnacentral:rRNA from 1 species